AGCCGCCCUGGCACGGCACCUGCUUUCCCCGCUCCCCCAGCCCGCUGCCCCGCGGCCUCCGACCGGGUCGCGCCCCUCCGUUCUUCCCCCUGCCCCUACGUUUCCAGAAGCCUCGCGCCCCUGGCCCCCAGCUCCCACGUCCCACCUCCCCUCCCCGCGGAACCUCAGACAAAAACAAGAAGCAACGAGUUGGCCAGAACUGCAAGAGAAUUGAUGCAUUUUCCAGUCUUCCUCUCCUUUCUCAGGGAGAUCAUAGACACCUGCCCCCAGCACAGCCGGCCGGCUCGCCUUAGCACCCCUCGCUGCAAAGUCUCUGGGAAAAUGAGUUUUCAUCCUCUACAGCGGGAGGCGGAGGAAGAAGAGGUGAGAGUUCUCACUGGAGGUGGCACUGACCAGUCUGCACGAACAAAUCUUCCCUCACAACCCUUACCUUCAAUGAGUUUCCCCCAUGUAUCUACCUUCCCACAAUGUAUGACUUCUGGAAGCCCAACCCCCUUUUUCUUUGUUAUCCCUUGUCCACAACGUAUCACCCUGUGUUAAAAUGGCUUAUAAGUUUUCAAGCUUAAAUGUUUCUUUGGGCUUUCAUGUUUUCUGUGAGGCCCCGAGUGCAUGCAUAAUAAAUCUUUUCUCCUGUUAA